UCUCAGGGAGCGGAUCCCCCUUGUGUUAGCAAUAACAUGCGCUAAUAUUUACGGUGGGUGUGCAGUUAAAUGUGUCGCUAUGGCUCGCUGAGAUUUUUUCGUUCAACCAUACCAGUUCCACUCAGAUUCGGACCCUGAAGGAGAGGCUCCUGAAGAAGUACAGACUCUGUGGCUGCAGCAGGACGUUUCAGAACGGAAAUUUCCAACCAGUUUGUGCCCAACUUCUGCAGGCAAGUAAAUAUUCUGCACUGGAGAUGAAAGACAGACAUGCGUAGCCUACGGAGCCAAAUCUGUCAUUGCCAAGCCUCACACCCCAUGCCUCAGUCGAUUGGCUGACGUCCCACGCUGUGUUACAGCAACAGCUUCCUUAGCUCCAGAAGAGAACGUAGGAUGCUGAUCCGGCCAGCAGGUUUGGACUGCCGGCCAACGAACUGACGAGCCCAAAGAUCCAGCCGAACACCAG